CACGUGAUAUCCUGUCUGAAUAUGGGGGGACCAUCCUCCAAGGCUAAAUACUCCUGACUGACCGAUAGUGAACCAGUACCGUGAGGGAAAGGCGAAAAGAACCCCUGUGAGGGGAGUGAAAUAGAACCUGAAACCGUGUACGUACAAGCAGUAGGAGCACCUUCGUGGUGUGACUGCGUACCUUUUGUAUAAUGGGUCAGCGACUUAUAUUCAGUGGCAAGGUUAACCGUAUAGGGGAGCCGUAGCGAAAGCGAGUCUUAACUGGGCGCUCAGUCUCUGGAUAUAGACCCGAAACCGGGUGAUCUAGCCAUGGGCAGGUUGAAGGUUGAGUAACAUCAACUGGAGGACCGAACCGACUAAUGUUGAAAAAUUAGCGGAUGACUUGUGGCUAGGGGUGAAAGGCCAAUCAAACUCGGAGAUAGCUGGUUCUCCCCGAAAGCUAUUUAGGUAGCGCCUCGGACGAAUACUACUGGGGGUAGAGCACUGUUAAGGCUAGGGGGUCAUCCCGACUUACCAACCCUUUGCAAACUCCGAAUACCAGUAAGUACUAUCCGGGAGACACACGGCGGGUGCUAACGUCCGUCGUGGAGAGGGAAACAACCCAGACCGCCAGCUAAGGUCCCAAAGUAUUGCUAAGUGGGAAACGAUGUGGGAAGGCUCAGACAGCUAGGAUGUUGGCUUAGAAGCAGCCAUCAUUUAAAGAAAGCGUAAUAGCUCACUAGUCGAGUCGGCCUGCGCGGAAGAUGUAACGGGGCUAAGCAAUACACCGAAGCUGCGGCAAUGUCUUUUAGACAUUGGGUAGGGGAGCGUUCUGUAAGCCGUUGAAGGUGAAUCGUAAGGUUUGCUGGAGGUAUCAGAAGUGCGAAUGCUGACAUGAGUAACGACAAAGGGGGUGAAAAACCUCCUCGCCGGAAGACCAAGGGUUCCUGUCCAACGUUAAUCGGGGCAGGGUGAGUCGACCCCUAAGGUGAGGCCGAAAGGCGUAAUCGAUGGGAAACGGGUUAAUAUUCCCGUACUUCUGACUAUUGCGAUGGGGGGACGGAGAAGGCUAGGUGGGCCAGGCGACGGUUGUCCUGGUUCAAGUGCGUAGGCUUGAGAGUUAGGUAAAUCCGGCUCUCUCUAAGGCUGAGACACGACGUCGAGCUACUACGGUAGUGAAGUCAUUGAUGCCAUGCUUCCAGGAAAAGCCUCUAAGCUUCAGAUAGUCAGGAAUCGUACCCCAAACCGACACAGGUGGUCGGGUAGAGAAUACCAAGGCGCUUGAGAGAACUCGGGUGAAGGAACUAGGCAAAAUGGUACCGUAACUUCGGGAGAAGGUACGCUCUUGAUGGUGAAGUCCCUCGCGGAUGGAGCUGACGAGAGUCGCAGAUACCAGGUGGCUGCAACUGUUUAUUAAAAACACAGCACUGUGCAAAAUCGCAAGAUGACGUAUACGGUGUGACGCCUGCCCGGUGCCGGAAGGUUAAUUGAUGGGGUUAGCGCAAGCGAAGCUCUUGAUCGAAGCCCCGGUAAACGGCGGCCGUAACUAUAACGGUCCUAAGGUAGCGAAAUUCCUUGUCGGGUAAGUUCCGACCUGCACGAAUGGCGUAAUGAUGGCCACGCUGUCUCCACCCGAGACUCAGUGAAAUUGAAAUCGCUGUGAAGAUGCAGUGUACCCGCGGCUAGACGGAAAGACCCCGUGAACCUUUACUACAGCUUGGCACUGAACAUUGAACCUACAUGUGUAGGAUAGGUGGGAGGCUAUGAAGACGUGACGCCAGUUGCGUUGGAGCCGUCCUUGAAAUACCACCCUUGUAUGU
rnacentral:rRNA from 1 species